UAGUAGUGUGACAUGUCCGUUUGGGAAUUACUCUGAUGUGUGUUUAAUUAUUAGUUAAUUACUUUUGGGUAACGGGGUGUUACACUUUG
rnacentral:pre_miRNA from 1 species